CAGGUUUCAGCCAAGAGCGGAUUUGAAAAGUUUCCAGUCUGCUUCACGAUCCUCUUGACUGGCUUGGUCCCUUGUACACGUGGUGGUGAGUGGGGCUCUUUAGGACCCGACCUUAAGACAAGAGGUUAAACUGCUUUUAACGGAGCUCAGUUGUGGAUCUCUCCUGUUGUAUUUCUUCUUUCACCCACAGGGAGGCUCUGAGGAGGAUGCAGUCUGGAUCCCAGCACAGCCAGUCUCCUUGAGCGGCCCAGAUUGGAAAAGUAAGAGCCCAGUGGUUCCACUUCUGUUCCCCCACGGCGAGAGCAGCCUGUGUGGGAUACUGCUGCCCGACCAGCUGUGGAAAGGGGAAGAGAGGGUGCCCUCAUCGUCAUCAGAUGAUGAGGGUGCUUCUGGGUACUGUUUAAUCCUGCUUCCUGCAGUAAAUUAAAGAAACUUUCUCCUUUCCCCCACUUUUUCCCUAAAAGGAGAAAGUCCACUUUCCAACACUCUCGUCCAACUUGGCUGGACACCAGCUGCCUGGCACUGAGUGCAGAGGACGGGCUAGGAAAAAGGGAGGGCCACUUGUUUUCCUCUUGACAGCAUUGCUGAGACCUUGGGGGAGGAAAAAAGCAUGGGAAUGGGAGAUUAAAAUGAAAAUUCUCCGUUCAUCUGCGCAUGGGGUUAUUGGAAUGAACACUCAUCCAAGUCUUCCUACGAGGAGAUCAAAGCGCCACUCUGCUGUGCGUCUUUAGGGUGAUUUCCUGAAGAAACAAGAAUUACUGAAUUGUGCUCCAAGAGCUCUUUGAACCCCUUGCCUGCUUCCACCCUGAUUUGAGAGUGCUGUAGAGGCCUCAAAACUAUUUUAUUCCUACGGGUAGAGUGAACAUAAUGGGGAAGGAACAACCCUGCAGGUCCCUCAAGGGAGAGAGGCCGCAGCAUGAGCGUCCCAUCACACGUACCAGGACAUGGGGACUUCUUGCAACCAAGCCGUUGCUUUUUGCCCCUUGGGCUUUCCUCCAGAGCCAGCAGCUCUCAAACACCAUCUGCCUCUUCUGCGAUGGGUGCCGAGAAGGGGAAGACCUCCUGCACUAGGGGCGGCGUGCUGGGCUGGUGUUGGGAAGGUGCUGGAGAGGGACCAGCGCUGCUGAGGCUGCUCUGAGGGCACGUUUCACCCCUCCCCAGAGUCACCUCUGCUGUGGCACGUUGGCUGGGACCAGACCAAAUGCCAGCGGGUGACAUCUCCCAGCGUAACUUCGCCUCUCCCUGUUCAAACUCCCCGGCAAGCGCCCGCGGUAAAUCCUCGCUCGGGAUGGGGCCCGCAGAGGUGGCUGCAGCAGCCUGGCACUGAACAGCCCCCAGGGGUGGGUGGGGGUCACCGGGUGAUGCUGGGGGGAAGCAGCCCUGCUCUUCCAGCACCGGCAGCGUUUCUCAGCACGAGCACAAGCUUUUCCCAUUCGUGGAGGCGCCCAGACCAGACUCUGGGUUUCUCGGCUUUUCUGGGGGAUGUCCCCGGCUGUCACCGCUCCCUGAACAGUGGCCAAACCCUUUACCAGAAGGAAACAAAUGCUGUGAGUGAUUUAUACGUGCUUUCGGGUGAAAAUAUUUCUGUGUGUUUGCAUAAUGUUUGUGGAGCUCACGCUAUCUGCUGGUAUCUGUCCAGUUGCUGGGUUAUUUGCUCAGUGAUCUAAUCCUCCUUGUCAGAUCAGCGUUAAAGCGUACUUCCAGGGCUCCCUUCCUGCAACUGCAUGUUCACACUCUCCUCUGCUUCACUGCUUGGGAACCAGCUGGGGGCUUUAUUUUUUUUUUUUUUUCCUGCUACAUCACCAGUCCACAGCUGGGCUUCUCCUAGCCCUACCUCAGGAGUCUGCUGUGCCCAAAUGUCAUGGUGGUGGGAUCUGAAAGCAGCUUUUACUGAUUCAUCUACGUGCUGGGGGGGUCUGGGAGGAAUAUUUAAUCCCAGCGAUGUCAUGUACCAUGGCAAAUAAUUUGGUUUCGGUCCAGAGGGGGCAAACCACUGGGAGAAACGCUCCAGUCUGGAGACACUGGGGAGAGACUGAGGCUGUUUCCCAGAGAAAAGACACAUUGUAUGGGUGAUGAGAGGCUGGGAGGAGAGUGUAUGCAGUGAGCAAGGAGACUUCAAAAUCAUUGAAAGCAUGAAAAAAGAGGGAUGGAGGGUUGUGGUGGAAAGCUGGGAAGUGAAGAAAGGACCACGCUCUCACAUGGAUUUACCAAAAUCCACAAUUAAAGCAGAUUUAUAGUGGUAGCAGC